CGUGAACUCACUGUGUAGCCCAGGCUGGCUUUGAACUCACAGAGAACUUCCUGCCUCAGCCUCCUUAGUGCUGGGAU
rnacentral:miRNA from 1 species